GCGGGAGCCGGCGCUGAGGGGAGGCGACCGGGGAGGCGAUCGGGGGCUGCGUCUCUCAGACGCGUACAGACCCCUUCUGCGUGAUGGAGCCUCAUGACACUGUAAUCUUUCCAGAGCUAUUAAAAAGAGGAACUCCAAUCUCCAUGAUCCAACAGCUUCAGGGAAAAUGGGAGGACCCAACAUUAUUGGGACUAGCUCCCAAGAUUACUGCAGUUGAGGACCAGCAUGUGAAUGUCAACUGGUUACAGUGUGGUGAAUAAGCAGGUCUAACAUCCAAACCACUGGAGAAACAGCAAGCUGAGAUACCUUCUAAGCUUCUACUACACGCAAGGACAUGCUUCAAGCAGGAACUUUAAUACUGACUUGGAAAUGAGAGGAAUUCCAAGGUUUUCAAGCCAAAGUGAUUCUGCAGUUUUUAAAACAAGAGCAUUUUCCUUUAAGAAUAAAAGCUAAACAAACUUGCAAUUUAAAAU
rnacentral:lncRNA from 1 species